GCAAAAAUAAUGAUGGGGAAAGUAGCCGUCAGGUUCCGUGCCAGAGAGGGAAUGCCAUAGGCUGGAAGCAUUUCUCGUGGGAGGAUGGUGAAGACCACCCCGGAGUGUCGGGCUGAAAGAUAAGUAAGCUCGGACGUUAUCCCGCGUUAAAGGAUUUGGAGAAAGGUCUGCGCUGCUUUUUGCCGGUCUUGAGUCCGGCAAUCUUUCCCUCCGCUCCGGGCCGAUGUUUCGGAGAGUGCGGUUGGGUUUGGGCGCAGGUCUGAAUGUGGGUGGAACCACGGGAGCGGUGCUCUCGUCCCUAUG
rnacentral:ncRNA from 1 species